rnacentral:misc_RNA from 1 species
GAUGAAGAACGCAGCGAAAUGCGAUAAGUAAUGCGAAUUGCAGAAUUCAGUGAAUCAUCGAAUCUUUGAACGCACAUUGCGCCCGCCAGCAUUCUGGCGGGCAUGCCUGUUCGAGCGUCAUUUCAACCCUCGAGCCCCCCCGGGGGCCUCGGUGUUGGGGGACGGCACACCAGCCGCCCCCGAAAUGCAGUGGCGACCCCGCCGCAGCCUCCCCUGCGUAGUAGCACACACCUCGCACCGGAGCGCGGAGGCGGUCACGCCGUAAAACGCCCAACUUUCUUAGAGUUGACCUCGGAUCAGGUAGGAAUACCCGCUGAACUUAAGCAUAUCAAUAAGCGGAGGA